rnacentral:rRNA from 1 species
UACGGAGGGAGCUAGCGUUGUUCGGAAUUACUGGGCGUAAAGGGCUCGUAGGCGGCCAACUAAGUCCGACGUGAAAUCCCCAGGCUUAACCUGGGAACUGCGUCGGAUACUGGAUGGCUUGAAUUCGGGAGAGGGAUGCAGAAUUCCAGGUGUAGCGGUGAAAUGCGUAGAUAUCUGGAGGAAUACCGGUGGCGAAGGCGGCAUCCUGGACCGACAUUGACGCUGAUGAGCGAAAGCUAGGGGAGCAAACGGG